UGAAAAGUCAUCAUUUCAUAUUAUAUGCGCAUUUGAUGCAGUAAAACUGGAACCGUACAUGUUAUUGCUCUAGAUUAUCAUACUGGUCCAAUUAUAAGUCUUAAAUGCCAGUGCCUGAUAACGGCUGCGUGACAUUAUGGUGGCCAGCGGCGGGAUUGAUUUAUUUUGGAUUUUAAAUUAACAUUUUGGACUUAACUUUUUACUCUUCAAACUGCUAUCUAAAGGAGGAAGAAGUAUACCGGAAGAGAUUGCAACAAUAACAAUAGACUUGAAGCUAGCCUGCUUCCUUAGCGAAAGGGAAGGCAGAAGAAAUAUAUGGCGUAUGGAUCCUCCUUUGUACAUGUAUGUGAAAAUAGAACUUUCAGAAAUUCGUCUGUCGCGACGUCUGUUCUGAAUGAUGUGGAAUUUACGACUGAUUAAGAAAUUUCGGAAAUUCGUCUGUCGUGACGUCUGUUCAGAAUGAAGCUUAUGUCAGAUAUUGUAAAGGAAAAGGAAAUGAAUCCUGUUUUGGAAAUAAAAAUUCUGAAAUUCGUCUGUCGCGACGUCUGUUCUGAAUGAAGGUUAUUUCAGAUGAUGAAAAAGAAAAUAAAGAAAUAGAAAUGUUGGAAAUUCGUCUGUCUUGACGUCUGUUCUAAAUGAUGUGAAAAUUAGUACUGAAUAUUCUUGUCUCGCCAAGAUUAUGUCAGAUGUUCUAAUGUAAAAUGGUAUUACAUGUUAUUCUAAUCCGAAGUUUUUAUGUCGCCAAAAUCAGAAGAUGAUGAGUAAAUGUGAAAAGUGUCUUAAAUGUUAGUUGAUAUGGAAUCAACAGUCAGUGUUUUGGAAAAUAAGUGUGAUUUUGUGUAUAAUGUUUAUUUAGCUAGAAAUUGUUUGUAUCUGUGUAUUAUAGGUCUGGAUUAGAUAUUCUGUGUGAUUUUUCAUGCAUUGUAGAUUUGGAAAUUUUAUUGUACUAAUGAUAAGGUGUAUUGAAGUUGUUUGGCGUCAUUGGACUCCGAGACGGUUAAAAACUUUGAAUCAAGCCUUAUGAAGAAAAUUUGUAAACUUAUAUAGAACAACAUACCAUCCUGAAUCAGAUGGCGUAUUGGAACGUUUAACGGAACAUUUACCGCAAUGUUAUCAAUGUAUGUUAGUGGACACAUCGUGAUUGGGAUACAUUUAUUCCUUUUGUUUUGUUCGAUUACAGACCUUCGUAACAUGAAAGUAUACAAGAGACUCCGUUUUUCCUAAUGCCAGGCCGUGAUCCGGCUCUACCAGUGGAAGCAGUAAUGUAUCCGCCUACGAUAACGUAAACCUCAAGUGACGACUACAAAUCAGAAAUAGUAACCAGACUGCAAGAGGCAUUAACGAUAGCCAAAGACAAUUUGCAGGCAGCGCUGCGGAAACAAAAAGAACAAUAUGACUUGAAAUCUGAUGUGAUUAACUAUAAUAUUGGUGAAAAGAUAUGGGUUUUUAAUCCAAGUACAAAACCUGGGCUAUCGUCAAAACUUUUACAUAAUUGGCAUAGACCAUAUAUAAUUAUUGAUAAACUUUCAGAUGUGAACUAUAAGAUACAAAUGGGUGAUUCAAAAAAAUCUGAACAAACGGUACAAGUUAAUCGUAUCAAACAAUUUGUUGAUCCUGAUGAUAGGCCCAUUACAGAGGAAGGAGAUAUUGGUUCGAACAUUGAUUCAAUUGAAAAUAAUGACAAUACAAUGGUCAAAAUUUUAGAUACAAUGAGAUCACGAAAUGAGUCAAAGAGAUAAGAAAAACAUUAUUUUGUACAGUAUGAGAAUGGUGAAACCAAGUGGGUAAAAGAGAAGGACAUUAAAGAUUUUUGCUAUUAUAAAUGAUUUUCAUAUUUCGAAUGAGAAUGCAUAGACUUUGAAUUUGUUUAAAUGUGUUUUAGAAAAAAAAAAAGAGAUAUAAUAAUUAAAAAAAAAAAAAAUAUUAUUGUGUAUGUAUAUAAAUUCAUGAUGUAUGUGUAAGAGUGUGUUUGUGUGUCGGGACGCCACAGUUAAUUGGGGAGGUAUGUCAUAGGGUGACACUUUGCAUAUUUAUAUCCUAUCUCAGAUCGGUAUUUAAUUGCCUUCAUUAAUUUCCUAUAGUAAAAGAGUGUUAAGUAUUUGUAAAUUUAUUGCUUUAGUGAACUUUAGCAGACCGUCUGAUCAACAGUUAAAUUUAAUGUAUGAUGCAGCUGUGUUGUAACUGUGUCAUUUAUAAUUAGAAGCCAUAUAAUGUAUGUCUCUGUUUGUUUAUAUUCUGUUCCUUUAGUUGUGUGGUCUGGGGAGGUAUGACGAUUUUAUGUGUGAGAAAGUGAGGAAAGCAGUGAAGGCCUUCACGUGAAUAAAACUUGGUGAAUGUUGAGAUGCGGGAGGAUUGAAGAGAGUUAGUGAAAGAGAAUGGAUGUGUCUCUGGAUUAACAAUGUAAAUUAAUUGAACUGUAUAUAUAUUUGAAACUGUUAAUAAUAAAUUUGUAUAUAUCUGAA